rnacentral:tRNA from 4 species
UCCUCGAUAGCUCAAUGGUAGAGCAACCGGCUGUUAACCGGUAGGUUGCAGGUUCGAGUCCUGCUCGGGGAGCCA